GAAAGCCGUGUGCGGGAAAACUGCAAGCACGGUUUGACGAGAGGCCGCUGGGACGAUCACUUCAAACUUGAGGCCUACUCUAC
rfam:Candidatus Burkholderia pumila strain TZHbot3 BPMIctg445, whole genome shotgun sequence.